GUGCUCACUUUGGCAGCACGUAUACUAAAAUUGACACAGUUCAGAGAUUAGCAUGACCCCUGCUCAAUGUUGACACACAAAUUCCUGAAGCAUUGAAUAUUUUU
ensembl:snRNA U6 U6 spliceosomal RNA